rnacentral:rRNA from 1 species
GGGGAAUAUUGCACAAUGGGCGAAAGCCUGAUGCAGCAACGCCGCGUGAGCGAUGAAGGCCUUUGGGUCGUAAAGCUCUGUCCUUGGGGAAGAAAAAAAUGACGGUACCCUUGGAGGAAGCCCCGGCUAACUACGUGCCAGCAGCCGCGGUAAUACGUAGGGGGCAAGCGUUAUCCGGAAUUAUUGGGCGUAAAGAGUACGUAGGUGGUCUUUUAAGCGCGAGGUUUAAGGCAAUGGCUCAACCAUUGUUCGCCUCGCGAACUGGAAGACUUGAGUACAGGAGAGGAAAGCGGAAUUCCUAGUGUAGCGGUGAAAUGCGUAGAUAUUAGGAGGAACAUCAGUGGCGAAGGCGGCUUUCUGGACUGAAACUGACACUGAGGUACGAAAGCGUGGGGAGCAAAC